rnacentral:rRNA from 1 species
CUACGGGAGGCUGCAGUGAGGAAUAUUGCGCAAUGGGGGGAACCCUGAUGCAGCAACGCCGCGUGGAGGAUGACGCAUUUCGGUGUGUAAACUCCUUUUAUAUGUCAAGAAAAUGACGGUAGCAUAUGAAUAAGCACCGGCUAACUCCGUGCCAGCAGCCGCGGUAAUACGGAGGGUGCAAGCGUUACUCGGAAUCACUGGGCGUAAAGGACGCGUAGGCGGGUUGGAAAGUCAGGUGUGAAAUCCUACAGCUUAACUGUAGAACUGCACUUGAAACUUCUAAUCUAGAGUAUGGGAGGGGGGGAUGGAAUUAGUGGUGUAGGGGUACAAUCCGUAGAUAUCACUAGGAAUACCUAAAGCGAAGGCGAUCUCCUGGAACAUUACUGACGCUAAGGCGUGAAAGCGUGGGGAGCAAACAGGAUUAGAUACCCCCGUAGUC